UACGUAGGGGGCAAGCGUUGUCCGGAUUUAUUGGGCGUAAAGAGCGUGUAGGCGGCCAGGUAGGUCUGCUGUGAAAACUCGAGGCUCAACCUCGAGACGUCGGCGGAAACCAUCUGGCUAGAGUCCGGAAGAGGAGAGUGGAAUUCCUGGUGUAGCGGUGAAAUGCGCAGAUAUCAGGAAGAACACCAAUGGCGAAGGCAGCUCUCUGGGACGGUACUGACGACUGAGACGCGGAAAGCGUGGGGGAGCGAACAGG
rnacentral:rRNA from 1 species